CAAUGGAUACUAUGUUCACUAUGAUUUGUCCAUGGGGGUUCCAAAGUUGCUUAUUUCUUUUAGAAAAUGAUUAAAAGAACAUAACAAAAAUUGAAGAAGUGGAACAAGGAGGCCUUUGGGGGGGGUCUAGCUAAUGCCGGAUGAAGAAUAUUGUUCUAGUGGAGAUAUUUUCCAUUGAGAUGAAGUAAUAAAAUGGAUGAAGCUGAAGAAAUGUAGAGGGUAAUUUCUGCCUAUAUGUGGAUUUGAAGAAUCUGUCAGAGCUUUAAAAAUAUAGGUGGGAGAUGAUGAGGAUAUGAUCAGCUCAUCCACCAAUCUUACAGCACUACAUGAAACGUUGCCUUUAAAUUUUUUUUUUGGGGGUGAAAAAAAAAUUAUUAACAAAGAAGAGAAAUACAGAGGUCCCAAGAAAGAAGAAGAAAAACAAAUCAAAUUACAAAGAAAAACCAGGCCUCAGGAAGGAGAGGCAAGGGGAAUAUAUGAAGAAAUAGGGAGAGCCCAGGAGUCCACAAUUAGCCUAUUUCGAGGGAGUCAUUGCACUGUGAGGGGGAUGAAGAUAGCUUGCAUCUAACAUCAAAGUCAAUUGAGGCCAAAAACUUCCUUAAAGAAAUUAGCGGGAGCCAAUGUGGACGUAUUGGUUGAAGGAAGCUGGCAAAAUUAUGAGGUUCUUUCUCUAGAUUGCAAUGUCAUGGUAGCAAAUUCGACCAUGAGGAUCCAAACUAACGUAUAUUGCUCUUUGCUAUGAUAUGGUUGUUAUGCUGGGUGCUGUCUUAGUUUUAAUAGCUCUCAGUUGUUCCAUUGAAUUAAUAAAUAUCUCAUUUUUGGUUUAUCUAUCUUGCUAAUGUUUGAAACUCGGCUUGAAAACAUGUAUUUUCUUUUUUUGGGUUUUGGCUAUCUCUUACAUUUGACCCAGUUCUUGACCUUGAGACAAGCCACUCAAGAAGUCUGCUUUUAGUUGUACCAAACACACUACUAUUGUGAUUAAGGCCUCCGAGGAAUUCACCAAACAUGGACGAGGAAAAAACUGGGGGGGGGGUGUUAAUUAAUCUCUUCAACAAAUCCUUUAUGAGAUACAAUUUUUUUCCUCAUUUUGGUUGUAGGAAAAGGAAGCAAUUAGCUUGGAUUUUCUAAAAGACCCAUAUAAGGUGAAAUUUGAAAUAAAGUACGGUACAAAAAGCUAUUGCAUGGACUAGUUCUUUGAGGCCGACAAUGAUGGCACUCUUUAGGUUGAAUUAGUCUUCUUCAGCUACUUUUGAUAUGGUUUGGGUCUGGGACUUCCCAUUUUAUAUGGAUUAUGAAGAUUUUAUUUUCUGUAGGUGAAAGUGUGGGCCGGAAUGGUGAUUUGCGUGAUUUGAAGUUAUCUUUUGGUGUAAAUAAGUUUUUGGUAUCUUUCAGUUUUUCUUUUGCAUCUCAGAUAAAAUACAUUUUAUGUUUAAAAUCAACUACCAAGUGUUGUUUUAAUGCUAAUUUUUGUUGGCCCCACAUACUUUUACCCCCCUUCUUGUUGGGUGAUAUCAUAGUUGUCAAGGUGUCACCUAAGCAGUGCAUAGGUGUCUAGGCGACCUUUGCUGGAAGGGCGCCUUGUUGGUAAUAUUUUACCUAAAUUACUAUUUCCAUUUUCUGGAGAUAUACUGUUUCUACUUACUCUUAACACUUCACAUAAAGAUUACUUACAACCGUUAUUUUUAUUUUUUUCUAUUUCAAGUUUUACUUUAGUUCAUCAAUUAAAACUUUGUUUGGCUUCACUUCACAACUACCAUAGGAGGCCUUAAUAGAUGUUAUCUUUUUGUUUCAUAUCUAUUAAAUUCAUGUAUUGGUUCUUAUUAUUUACAAAUGACAAGGUGAUUGCACCUAUAAGUGCUAGUGGGGUGGUCCUUGAUGCAUUGGAGGCUUGUAACUUCUAAGUGCAGUUUCAAUUGCAUCAUCAAACUGUGGCAGGUGAGGCUUAACUUAAAAAUUUUGAAGUACACAUUCGUGUCCCUUGAUAUUUAUGGAAUGGGAGUCAUUUGAUAUUAUUGCAGCUGUCAAUAUAGUAUAGUAGUCUAUAUCACAAGAAUAAAUUCUUUGUUUUCAUAUGCCUAUCAGUUUUAGUUUCUCUUAUAGGUCUAUACAAUAAUUCCCAUUAACAAUAUAAGAAUUAUUAAUUUGAUUAAGAGACCAAAUUUCUGGUUCUCAAAUCUUGUUGAUUAACAAAUUAUGCUUUUUUUUUUUGUUAAACAUUUAUCUUGAUCUAAUAUGAGAAAUGAAUUAUGUCCAAUGAUAGUAUGAUAUCUUGUAUGCUUCUUACUUUUCAGUACAUGGCCAGCAUUUUUUCCAGCCCACGAUCCUUCUCAAAAACCAUAUAUUGGCUUCCAAAAUAUGGAGAUUGUUUUUACUAGAAGGUUUGAGGCUGAUCGCAUCGGCAGCCAAGUCCCUGUCAGACUCUUGCAUUAGGAGGGGUUAUAUGAGCCAUUUGUUUCUAAGUUUGUGAGUCUGCUACUCUCCUUACCUAAUGUAAUUCCUAAUUAUGAUACCUUUAGGACUUUAUCCUGGCUUAGAUGAUUUAUUUAUUUAUUUUUUGUGACUAGGUUAAUUGUGAAUUUGUUAACCAACCGGAAGGGUGAUAUACUUCUCUAAUUCUAUUCAUAGCCAUUUAGGACGCUUAUCCUCCAAAGUAGUUUUGACACACAAGAUUUAACCAUAAAAGAUGUGGGAUGAGCUAACAGGCUUUUGGCUAUAAAAGCAUAACACACUUUAAUGUCAGAAAACUAAGGACAGCUAAUGCAUCGCCAGGUUACAAAAAUCCUAGUUUAUGGUUGCUAUGGGCCCACCAAAGUGAAUAAAAAACUCAAAAUUAUGUAACCAGUAGUAAUUUCAUAAUUAUUCAUAACGGUCCAGGACCGCUUUGGGUAUGCUAAACAGGAGAAAGGACUAAACAGAAAAUUAAUCUGAAGGGGAAAGAUGUUUCUGGGAACAUAAUAAAACUAGUGUGUUAAUUAGCAAGUUAGAGUUUAAGUUAGGAAGUUAAUUUACAGCUUUUAGUUUCCUAUUUUAAAUUCAGCUUUGUAAGACUAUAUAAGGAGGUACCCAUCAUUGUAAUAGUUAGACUAUCAUUAAUUAAAAUUGUUUGUUUUAUGCAAUGUUUUGCUGUGGGAUGCAGUUGUGUGAGAUGCCCUAGGUGAGAUGCCUGGACCAUAAGGGUGAGAUACCCAUUGACUAAUUCUUCUCUACCCUUCUCAACCCUCCAUCAGUUUCUCUUUUCUUCUUUGAUCCAACUUUUGAGAGAGUGAUCUGAGACUGUUGAAGUACUCUUCCGACGACCCAAGGAUCAGCAACCAAAUCUGGUUGAUGACCACCCAAAAAGACCAGAAUUGACCUCAACAAUUAGGUUUUUGGACCUAGAUCGACUUCCUCAACACUACCAAACUAAUAGCCAACUUUGGAGGGGUUUGUUGAGGACACCUAGGGGGCAACUUGACCUUGUUUCCAAACCCACCUGAGCACCCUACAGCCAACUGUGAGAAUUCUUCAAUUGCUGCUAUGUUACUACAUCAAUUCCAACCUACUAUGGUCCUAUUUAGUGGUUCUACUGACCUGAUAACAGUCCUUAUGAGUUAAUUGCUAGACAUCCUGAGAGUGGUAAUGGAACUGCCUGGUCUAGAUCUCCAUUUGAGAACCAGCAAGUGACAAAACAGAACCAAAUCCGUGGAGAAGAUUAUCUUGCCUUCAACAUCAAUGGCAUCGGAGAGCUACUCGAUUCUGAGGAUAGUACACCGAAGGACCAACCAUUUUCUUGUUCUCAUGAUUCAUGGUCACAGAAUCCAAGCGACAUGACAGAAAAACAGAGAACUCAUGAAGAUUCUGAGAUGAAUCUGGCAUAUCUUGGCAUCGCGUUUCUUGGUAAGUAAGGGUAACCUAGAAGCAUCAGUUGAUAUGUUGCAUCAACUUGAGGUAAAUAACUGUUCCGGUAAACUUUUUUUCAUUAAGCUGCCUUUACUGGCAAUUUUCUUUUUGUGGUACUAUGAAUAUUUUGAAAGCCUAAUCUUUUUUUUUUUUUUUUUUAUGUGGUGUUGCAUAUUUUCAGGGGGCAGCCACCAAUAUUAUUUGUCUUCUAUUUUUUGUUUCUUUUACUUUUGCUUCUGUUAAGUGGUCUACGGACUUAUAUACUGAAUAUUUCAUUUGAUGGUAAAUGAACCAGCCACAUAAAGAAUCUGAUGACAAAACAGUUAUAAUUUAAACUUUUUUCUGGGGUAGCAUCUCCUUUUUUAUUGACAUUGUUUGUUAACUUACAGAAUCAAUCAUUAGUCUUUUUAACUCAAGUCUGCCAUCCUGUUUAUUUCAGCCUAUACACUGGCAGUUCAUAUAAAAUGUAUUACAGCUGAACAGAUUCAUUCCUAUUGAUUAUGAAUUGUUGUCGACUUGAUUUUCAUUUUUGUUUAUAAGUUGUACAUAGUGUACUUCUUCUGAUUUCAGAUUGAAAAAGAUAAAAUCAUCUUCCAGAUCCUUGCUGAGCAGUUUGUCAGUGAACUGUUUACUCUGAUUGCAUGUUUACCUCCAGAUGUUUUUCAAUAUCUUCCAGAAUCCUUGGAUAUUGGUGAUGUGUUGGAGUUUUGAGUGUCCAUCUGUAGGCACAUCCAUGAGCCCAAAUCAUACCAAUUCUAGUUAAGGCUGUGGGUCUUUGGUUUUUUCAUUGAAAUCAGCCUCUUGACUUGCACUGUAGUAACCAGCAAUGUGAGAAAGUUGGGAAAAGUGCUGGAGGGGGAUAUUCUUUGCUCUGUUGAAGUGAUGUACAUUGACAAUGGUUGGGAAUGAAAGCUUCACCAGGAAAGAGAUAAGGAAAAGCAGUGGGUUGUGGUGUCCUUCAAGAUACUCAUCAAUACUGAGAGAAAAUGAUCCUCCUCCGUGUUUCUUCUCCUUCUGCUAUUGCUUCUCAUACACCUCACUAUUUAGCUGAUUACCAUCGUCAGAUGAGUUGUUCUACCUUUGCUUUGAUUUUUUAUCUGUUUAUUUAUUAUUAUUAUUUUUUUUUAAGGAAAUCUUAUAAAAAGUGGUGCAAUUUUUCUGUGGUGUUUUUUGUGAAGAACUGAAAUGGGUAUUUAUGAUUAUGGAUUUCUGGUGUCUUUUGGUUGGGCUGCUUCAUAACUGUUGAUUUAAGAAAUUAGGCAGUUUACCUUUCUUUCUCUAUCGUCUCUUGUAUUAUCUUGGAUUCAAGGUUUUUUUUUUCCAGCCAUGGGGAGCUGUCAACUAUUUCCUUGUUCAAUUAGCUAUGAAUCAUAUUUUUUAUUUUUAUAUUUCAGUAGUUGUUAGCUUCUUAGCUACUAAUUCACUUCAUCUUAGGACAUAUUAGACAAUAUUUGGCUUCAGUCCACAAACCAUUAAGUUAUUCGUUUCUGAAAUGUUUUAUAUCUGAUUUCCAACAUUUUCAGAGUUAACUAAUUUACAAGUUUUUAGAAAAUCUUGUUAAUUUUGCCACAAUUUCAUUUUCCAGGUGAUAGGGAGUUAUGUCUUUUUUUUUGGAAAUUCGACUAAAGACUAUGUAUGCCUAGGUUAUAAAUCCAGCUCAGUUUGUCUAUUAUGUCUUAAGCACGAUAUAUGUUGCAACUUGUAGCAUAUUAAAAAAGUUUUUUUUUUUAGCAUUGCAAUAGUGUCAAAGAUUGGUAUUUGGAUCAUCCACCAGAUAGCUCAAUCUAGAUAAUUAUCAUUCCGGAACUAUCCAAUCUGGGACGGGAACGGAUCGCUAACCUACAUUAUUUUAAUAAUUUUUCGUCUAGAUGUCUAAUCUGUACUGUCUCUUAACCUUAAUCUUAUGCCUUAACCCCAGGCCAGCCGCAACUACUAAUCCAGUUUCUUCUAAAUGCAUAUAUACUAUAAAUUUUUAGUACGUGACUCAUUCAUAAUAAUUAACUUAUAUUGAUGCAUAUAUCUUUAAUAUUUGUCUAAGUAUGUGACCAAAAAGUUACCACAAUAACCAAAUAAAACGACCAAAUAUUUAUGAAAUCAUUUGAAUCUCCAUAUUGAAAAUGACCACUUAAAAUGAAAUUUACAAAUAUGGUCUAUGUCAUGCUUGAGCUACCUUUUAAAACUUAUAAAUGACUUCUUUUUACAGCCUUUUCUUCAGUGAUUGAGGGGAAAAAUGAACAGAUGUCGACUUCAGUGAAUCUUUGUGAAGAGCUUGGACUUGUCUAUUAGGUCCUGUGGUUUUUUCCAUUAUUCAAGAGGCAAUGAGUGGCUACCCAGCUUCAGAAACUGAAAUUUGUGCAGCUAUGCUUCUUAAAGAUGCUCCUUAUGGUCUUGCUGGGCAUGCUUACUAUGAACUUUCGAGUUAUCUGAACAUCGAAGACUGGUGCAUGUUCUUAGUCACAGGGCGAUUCAAGUCUCAUGGUUUGUGCCUCAACUUGUGGUCAGGAGCAGCCCGUCAAUUGGGUGCGUGCCUCAACAAGGCAUGCUGAGGUGUACACCUGAGUGAUGACACAUGCUUUGUUGCAAGUGUUGGCAAUCCUUAUGAAAUUAACCUUGGUGGUUUUAUUAUUUCUGGUUUAUUGGCCUUGAUAUUUGAUGUUUUUAACUUUUUAAGAAUGAUGUAUGGAUUUGGUUUGCUGACUUUCUCAGUGGUCUGCUAGUUAUUCAUCUUAUCUUGCACUUAACAUUCCAAAUAUUGACUUAUGAACAUGUGAUAUUCCUUAAUAUUAUAAUUUAGAUUAUAACCUUUAACUGUGCAUUAGGUAUAUGAAUUGCUAUUUGCAAUUUUCCUUGGUCAAUAAUUUGAUAUCGAGAACUCAAUAAUCGUCUAAUGUGCUUGUCAUAAUAUUGUUACUAUCAGUUUAAUUGUGACAGAACUCAAAUGGUAAUGAGGCUUUGUAGGACUUGGACUGACUAACUGAGAAUGUUUCAAUUUAUCAUACAUUAUUGUAUUACUGGCAUUCAUAUAACACAUGGUUUUCCUUUUUGAUUUAUUUGGCCGUGACUUGCUAAAAGAAUUUGAAUAUAUUAUUGUAUUUCACAAUGACUGAAUGACUUUGAGAAUGCCUCUUAUGCUUGUUCUGACAGAUAAAAGAUGACACAAAAAGAUCAGUGUAUUGGGCUUUAACCAAAUUGCUCCAGGACAAGGACUUAGCGGUUAGGGUAUGGUGUGGGUUUCUUUCGAAUAAAAGAGGUCCACUAUUGGUGUUCCAUUUUUUUUUUUUUAGUUUGUUUACUGAUUUCAGCAAAAAAUGGGUUUCCAUCUCAUUGUAGCCUACUGCUUAAUAUUUCCUGUUCUUAUUUAUUUUCUUUUCCUUUUAAUAUAUGCUGCUCUUUCUCUAAUGUUUUGGUUUAAUUUUUCAGCUGGCAGCAUGGCAGUCGCUCUGUUUCCUCAUUGAAUAUGUGAACAUCUCUGAACAAAAUUUUAUGGAUCUUCUUCCAACAUGUUGGCCAAGGUUGAAACCAAAAUUUUGAACAUUGCGACUGAUCCAUUUUGUUUAGGGGAUGCCAAGAAGUUACAACAAUUGUAUCCCAAGAAUAAUUAUAAUAGCCCUCUGGUGAUUCCCCCCAGAAAAUACGUCAUAAGAAGUCUACGAAAUAGGCCAUUGGAUCCUCUUCAUUAGCCUUUUACCCUUCGACAGAGUUUACUAAAUGCUCACCACCAUAAUGAAAUGUAAAUCCUCUUGGGCUUUGGAAAUAUCUUUCUAGUUAUCCACUUCCUCAUUCUUGAUGCAAAUCCCCUCACUGGUUACAUACUUUUAGGCCAACUUUUUUCACACUUAUCUAAUCUCACCCAAAAUGGUUAUAAUAAUUUCUCCAUAUCAAAUUUUCACACAAACUCAGUUCUAAAUUUUCCUUGUUUUAUUUUUUAAUUUGUUCAGUCAAGCAUGAAUAUGAGAAUAAAGAAAGAUCUCAGGGGCCUGAAUUUUGAUUAUUUAAUAUAUUUCUCUCUGACAGGCUAAAAUGGUCUUUAAUUUUUAUUUUUUUUUUCAGAAUUUUUCCACUCUAAUUUAAGUUACUUAACAGUCUUGAAGUUUCAUGGCUCUUUCUUAUUUCCUUGUUCCAUAUUAACACUGCCUCAAAUAUUACCAUGUUGCAGGUCCAGAUUUUAAAUUUGAUUUCUGUGCUUAUUGUGCAUGUUAGUGGAAUCAUUCCAUUUGCAAACAGUUGGUGGAAUUUUUCCAGAAGUUGUAUUAUGACACACAUUGAGGUGCAUGUUCUCAGUCGAGGGGCAAUUCAAGUCUCAUGGUUUGUGCCUCAACUUGUGGCCAGGUGCAGCCGUCACUUGGGUGCGUGCCUCAACAAGGCAUGCUGAGGUGUACACCUGAGUGCCGACAUAUGUUUUGUUGCAAGUUUUGGCAACCUUAGGAAAUUAUCCUUGGUGGUUUUAUUAUUUCUGGUUCAUUGGCCUUGAUAUUUGAUGUUUUUAACAUUUUAAGAAUGAUGUAUGGAUUUGGUUUGCUGACUUUCUCAGUGGUCUGCUAGUUAUUCAUCUAAUCUUGCACUUUAAAUUCCAAAAAUAUUGACUCAUGAACAUGUGAUAUUCCUUAAUAUUAUAAUUUAUAUUUUAACCUUUAACUGUGCAUUAGGUAUAUGAAUUGCUAUUUGCAUUUUUCCUUGGUCAAUAAUUUGAUAUCCAGAACUCAAUAAUUGUCUAAUGUGCUUGUCACAAUGUUGUUACUAUCACGAACUGGAUCUACUCUUGUAUCUCCACCACCAAUUUUUCCAUUAUUGUUAACGAAUCCCCUGCUGGAUAUUUCGCCUCUUCCAUUGGUUUCCGGCAAGGUUGCGCUCUCUCCCUCUUCUUUUCCACUUGGCUCUUGAAGUCCUAUCCCGAUCCAUCCAAACCAAAACUGAUGAUCUUCUCAUUUUCUCCAUCCCUAAAUGCAAAUCUCUCAAGCUCACUCAUCUUGCCUUUCUGAUGAUCUCAUGAUCUUCUCCAAAGUCCAUUCAGACCAUUCUACAAUUAUGACAGAAGAUAUGCAUGAAGAACAGCUCCGUGCAGUUGAAGCCCUUGGUGGUGCAUUUGUAAGAUUAGUCUCACCAUUUGGAAUAUCAAUAUUGUAAUCUCAUGCGACUUGGUUGUCCUCGUAUAUGAAUUAAGCUUAAGUAUUGUGUCUAUUUCUAAGGUUAUCCCACUAGUAUGACAUAAUAAGAGAGACUAGGUGACAUAAUUCAGUAAAUAUUAGGUGCAUUGGUGUUUCUGGAUAUUUAAUUAUUCUCAUAAAAUGUAAUGGCAGUUGAAAAUUAAUGAACAUUCUAGCUUUCAUAACCUGAGAGUACUAAGAUCUACUUUUUCAUGAUUUCUGGUGCCUUGCACUUAAUUUUUGCCAUUAUCAUUGUUCAUUACAUGCUAAGUAGUUAUUUGGAUAAGUAUUUUUUCACAGAAUUUUCAUGUAUAUGUUGGAUUGUGAUACUAUUGUAUGUGAACUUUAUUACUUGUACUUCCUACCAUGGUUUUCAGUUGAAAGAUCACCAUAUAAAUCCUUGUGCAUUUUUUUUUUCCCCCUCCCCUUUUGACUGACCUACAUCUUUUUCAUUACAGAGCUUCUCUGUCCUAUUGGAGAGAGAUAUCUUGUCUUCAGUAAAUUGAGCUCAUGG